CCGAAGCUGCUCCGAAACUUUAAUGUGAAAAUAGUCUUUAGUCCAGUGAAAGUGAGCGCUACUACUGACUCCGCCGUUCUGCUGUGUUUGGUAGGAAGGUGGAG